GAUGAACGCUGGCGGCGUGCCUAAUACAUGCAAGUCGAGCGAACAGACGAGGAGCUUGCUCCUCUGACGUUAGCGGCGGACGGGUGAGUAACACGUGGAUAACCUACCUAUAAGACUGGGAUAACUUCGGGAAACCGGCGCUAAUACCGGAUAAUAUAUUGAACCGCAUGGUUCAAUAGUGAAAGACGGUUUUGCUGUAACUUAUAGCUGGAUCCGCGCCGCAUUAGCUAGUUGGUAAGGUAACGGCUUACCAAGGCAACGAUGCGUAGCCGAGCUGAGAGGGUGAUCGGCCACACUGGAGCUGAGCCACGGUCCAGACUCCUACGGGAGGCAGCAGUAGGGAAUCUUCCGCAAUGGGCGAAAGCCUGACGGAGCAACGCCGCGUGAGUGAUGAAGGUCUUCGGAUCGUAAAACUCUGUUAUUAGGGAAGAACAAAUGUGUAAGUAACUAUGCACGUCUUGACGGUACCUAAUCAGAAAGCCACGGCUAACUACGUG
rnacentral:rRNA from 1 species